rnacentral:rRNA from 3 species
GUGCUUGCACCUCUUGAGAGCGGCGGACGGGUGAGUAAUGCCUAGGAAUCUGCCUGGUAGUGGGGGAUAACGCUCGGAAACGGACGCUAAUACCGCAUACGUCCUACGGGAGAAAGCAGGGGACCUUCGGGCCUUGCGCUAUCAGAUGAGCCUAGGUCGGAUUAGCUAGUUGGUGAGGUAAUGGCUCACCAAGGCGACGAUCCGUAACUGGUCUGAGAGGAUGAUCAGUCACACUGGAACUGAGACACGGUCCAGACUCCUACGGGAGGCAGCAGUGGGGAAUAUUGGACAAUGGGCGAAAGCCUGAUCCAGCCAUGCCGCGUGUGUGAAGAAGGUCUUCGGAUUGUAAAGCACUUUAAGUUGGGAGGAAGGGCAGUUACCUAAUACGUAAUUGUUUUGACGUUACCGACAGAAUAAGCACCGGCUAACUCUGUGCCAGCAGCCGCGGUAAUACAGAGGGUGCAAGCGUUAAUCGGAAUUACUGGGCGUAAAGCGCGCGUAGGUGGUUCGUUAAGUUGGAUGUGAAAGCCCCGGGCUCAACCUGGGAACUGCAUUCAAAACUGUCGAGCUAGAGUAUGGUAGAGGGUGGUGGAAUUUCCUGUGUAGCGGUGAAAUGCGUAGAUAUAGGAAGGAACACCAGUGGCGAAGGCGACCACCUGGACUGAUACUGACACUGAGGUGCGAAAGCGUGGGGAGCAAACAGGAUUAGAUACCCUGGUAGUCCACGCCGUAAACGAUGUCAACUAGCCGUUGGGAGCCUUGAGCUCUUAGUGGCGCAGCUAACGCAUUAAGUUGACCGCCUGGGGAGUACGGCCGCAAGGUUAAAACUCAAAUGAAUUGACGGGGGCCCGCACAAGCGGUGGAGCAUGUGGUUU